rnacentral:rRNA from 1 species
UAGGGAAUCUUCCGCAAUGGACGCGAGUCUGACGGAGCAACGCCGCGUGAGUGAAGAAGGAUUUCGGUUCGUAAAACUCUGUUGUUAGAGAAGAACAGCGCAUAGAGUAACUGUUAUGCGUGUGACGGUAUCUAACCAGAAAGCCACGGCUAACUACGUGCCAGCAGCCGCGGUAAUACGUAGGUGGCAAGCGUUGUCCGGAUUUAUUGGGCGUAAAGCGAGCGCAGGCGGUCAAUUAAGUCUGAUGUGAAAGCCCACGGCUCAACCGUGGAGGGUCAUUGGAAACUGGAAAACUUGAGUGCAGAAGAGGAAAGUGGAAUUCCAUGUGUAGCGGUGAAAUGCGCAGAGAUAUGGAGGAACACCAGUGGCGAAGGCGACUUUCUGGUCUGUAACUGACGCUGAUGUGCGAAAGCGUGGGGAUCAAACAGG